rnacentral:rRNA from 1 species
GUCCUACGGGACGCAGCAGUCGGGAAUAUUGCGCAAUGGAGGAAACUCUGACGCAGUGACGCCGCGUGCAGGAAGAAGGUUUUCGGAUCGUAAAACCCUGUUGUUAGAGAAGAAAGUGCGUGAGAGUAACUGUUCACGUUUCGACGGUAUCUAACCAGAAAGCCACGGCUAACUACGUGCCAGCAGCCGCGGUAAUACGUAGGUGGCAAGCGUUAUCCGGAUUUAUUGGGCGUAAAGGGAACGCAGGCGGUCUUUUAAGUCUGAUGUGAAAGCCUUCGGCUUAACCGGAGUAGUGCAUUGGAAAU